rnacentral:rRNA from 1 species
GGGGUGACUGCGUACCUUUUGUAUAAUGGGUCAGCGACUUAUAUUUAGUAGCAAGGUUAAGUGAAUAGCGGAGCCGUAGCGAAAGCGAGUGUUAACUGCGCGUUUAGUUGCUAGGUAUAGACCCGAAACCCGGUGAUCUAGCCAUGAGCAGGUUGAAGGUUGAGUAACAUCAACUGGAGGACCGAACCCACUAACGUUGAAAAGUUAGGGGAUGACUUGUGGCUGGGGGUGAAAGGCCAAUCAAACCGGGAGAUAGCUGGUUCUCCCCGAAAUCUAUUUAGGUAGAGCCUCGGACGAAUUCCAUUGGGGGUAGAGCACUGUUAAGGCUAGGGGGUCAUCCCGACUUACCAACCCUUUGCAAACUCCGAAUACCAAUGAGAACUAUCCGGGAGACACACGGCGGGUGCUAACGUCCGUCGUGGAGAGGGAAACAACCCAGACCGCCAGCUAAGGUCCCAAAAUAUUGCUAAGUGGGAAACGAUGUGGGAAGGCAUAGACAGCUAGGAGGUUGGCUUAGAAGCAGCCACCCUUUAAAGAAAGCGUAAUAGCUCACUAGUCGAGUCGGCCUGCGCGGAAGAUGUAACGGGGCUAAGCAAUAUACCGAAGCUGCGGCAGCAUGUUUACAUGCUGGGUAGGGGAGCGUUGUGUAAGUGGAUGAAGGUGAGUUGUAAAGCUUGCUGGACAUAUCACAAGUGCGAAUGCUGACAUGAGUAACGAUAAUGGGAGUGAAAAACUCCCACGCCGGAAGACCAAGGUUUCCUGUCCCAUGCUAAUCAGGGCAGGGUAAGUCGGCCCCUAAGGCGAGGCAGAAAUGCGUAGUCGAUGGGAAACGGAUUAAUAUUUCCGUACUUAUAUAAUCAGUGAUGGAGGGACGGAGAAGGCUAGGCAAGCUUGGCGUUGGUUGUCCAAGUGAAAGUGAGUAGGCUGAAACUUAGGUAAAUCCGGGUUUUCAAGGCCGAGACACGAGACGAGCUCCCAAGGGAGUGAAGUUGUUGAUGCCCUGCUUCCAGGAAAAGCUUCUAAACUUAUGAUUAUAUGAACCGUACCCCAAACCGACACAGGUGGUCAGGUAGAGAAUACUAAGGCGCUUGAGAGAACUCGGGUGAAGGAACUCGGCAAAAUUGUACCGUAACUUCGGGAGAAGGUACGCCUCUGUUUGUGAACACUUCGCGUGGUAAGCAAAUGGAGGCCGCAGUGACCAGGUGGCUGGGACUGUUUAUUAAAAACACAGCACUCUGCAAACUCGUAAGAGGACGUAUAGGGUGUGACACCUGCCCGGUGCCGGAAGGUUAAUUGAUGGGGUUAGUUUUCGGACGAAGCUCUUGAUCGAAGCCCCGGUAAACGGCGGCCGUAACUAUAACGGUCCUAAGGUAGCGAAAUUCCUUGUCGGGUAAGUUCCGACCUGCACGAAUGGUGUAACCAUGGCCACGCUGUCUCCACCCGAGACUCAGUGAAAUUGAAAUCGCAGUGAAGAUGCUGUGUACCCGCACCUAGACGGAAAGACCCCGUGAACCUUUACUACAGCUUGGCACUGAACAUUGAACCUACAUGUGUAGGAUAGGUGGGAGGCUUUGAAGCACAGUCGCUAGAUUGUGUGGAGCCGUCCUUGAAAUACCACCCUUGUAUGUUUGAUGUUCUAACAUUAGGUCCCUUAUCGGGAUUGUGGACAGUGUCUGGUGGGUAGUUUGACUGGGGCGGUCUCCUCCCAAAUAGUAACGGAGGAGCACGAAGGUUAGCUAAUCACGGUCGGACAUCGUGAGGUUAGUGCAAUGGCAUAAGCUAGCUUAACUGCGAGACAGACACGUCGAGCAGGUACGAAAGUAGGUCAUAGUGAUCCGGUGGUUCUGUAUGGAAGGGCCAUCGCUCAACGGAUAAAAGGUACUCCGGGGAUAACAGGCUGAUACCGCCCAAGAGUUCAUAUCGACGGCGGUGUUUGGCACCUCGAUGUCGGCUCAUCACAUCCUGGGGCUGAAGUCGGUCCCAAGGGUAUGGCUGUUCGCCAUUUAAAGUGGUACGCGAGCUGGGUUUAGAACGUCGUGAGACAGUUCGGUCCCUAUCUGGUGUGGGCGUUGGAUGAUUGAUGGGAGCUGCUCCUAGUACGAGAGGACCGGAGUGGACGAACCGCUGGUGUUCGGGUUGU